rnacentral:rRNA from 1 species
UGCAAGUCGAGGGUAUAGUAAGCUUGCUUACUAGAGACCGGCGCACGGGUGCCUAACGCGUAUGCAAUCUACCUUUUACAGGGGAAUAGCCCAGCACAAAUUUGGAUUAAUGCCCCAUAGUAUAUAAGAGUCGCAUGGUUUUUAUAUUAAAGUUCCAAUGGUAAAAGAUGAGCAUGCGUCCCAUUAGUUAGUUGGUAAGGUAACGGCUUACCAAGACGAUGAUGGGUAGGGGUCCUGAGAGGGAGAUCCCCCACACUGGUACUGAGACACGGACCAGACUCCUACGGGAGGCAGCAGUGAGGAAUAUUGGUCAAUGGGCGCAAGCCUGAACCAGCCAUGCCGCGUGCAGGAAGACGCAUCUAUGGUGUGUAAACUGCUUUUGUACGGGAAGAAACACUCCCUCGUGAGGGAGCUUGACGGUACCGUAAGAAUAAGGAUCGGCUAACUCCGUGCCAGCAGCCGCGGUAAUACGGAGGAUCCAAGCGUUAUCCGGAAUCAUUGGGUUUAAAGGGUCCGUAGGCGGUUUAGUAAGUCAGUGGGGAAAGCCCAUCGCUUAACGAUGGAACGGCCAUUGAUACUGCUAGACUUGAAUUACUGGGAAGUAACUA